rnacentral:rRNA from 1 species
CCCAGACUCCUACGGGAGGCAGCAGUGGGGGAUAUUGCACAAUGGGGGGAACCCUGAUGCAGCGACGCCGCGUGGGUGAAGGAGUAUUUCGGUAUGUAAAGCCCUAUCGGCAGGGAAGAAGCAAGACGGUACCUGACUAAGAAGCCCCGGCUAACUACGUGCCAGCGGCCGCGGUAAUACGUAGGGGGCGAGCGUUAUCCGGAUUCACUGGGUGUAAAGGGAGCGUAGACGGCCAUGCAAGCCAGGGGUGAAAGCCCGGGGCCCAACCCCGGGACUGCCCUUGGAACUGUGCGGCUAGAGUGCGGGAGGGGCAGGCGGAAUUCCUGGUGUAGCGGUGAAAUGCGUAGAUAUCAGGAGGAACACCGGCGGCGAAGGCGGCCUGCUGGACCGCGACUGACGUUGAGGCUCGAAAGCGUGGGGAGCGAACAGGAUUAGAUACCCGUGUAAU